AACGAACGCUGGCGGCAGGCCUAACACAUGCAAGUCGAACGCCCGUAGCAAUACGGGAGUGGCAGACGGGUGAGUAACGCGUGGGAACGUGCCCUUCGGUUUGGAAUAACUCAGGGAAACUUGAGCUAAUACCAAAUACGUCCGUAAGGAGAAAGAUUUAUCGCCGAAGGAUCGGCCCGCGUCGGAUUAGCUAGUUGGUGAGGUAACGGCCCACCAAGGCGACGAUCCGUAGCUGGUCUGAGAGGAUGAUCAGCCACACUGGGACUGAGACACGGCCCAGACUCCUACGGGAGGCAGCAGUGGGGAAUAUUGGACAAUGGGCGAAAGCCUGAUCCAGCCAUGCCGCGUGAGUGAAGAAGGCCUUAGGGUUGUAAAGCUCUUUCAGCGGGGAAGACAAUGACGGUACCCGCAGAAGAAGCCCCGGCUAACUUCGUGCCAGCAGCCGCAGUAAG
rnacentral:rRNA from 1 species